ACGAAGUCUGACGGAGCAACGCCGCGUGAGUGAUGAAGGUUUUCGGAUCGUAAAACUCUGUUGUUAGGGAAGAACAAGUAUCGGAGUAACUGCCGGUACCUUGACGGUACCUAACCAGAAAGCCACGGCUAACUACGUGCCAGCAGCCGCGGUAAUACGUAGGUGGCAAGCGUUGUCCGGAAUUAUUGGGCGUAAAGCGCGCGCAGGUGGUUCCUUAAGUCUGAUGUGAAAGCCCACGGCUCAACCGUGGAGGGUCAUUGGAAACUGGGGAACUUGAGUGCAGAAGAGGAAAGUGGAAUUCCAAGUGUAGCGGUGAAAUGCGUAGAGAUUUGGAGGAACACCAGUGGCGAAGGCGACUUUCUGGUCUGUAACUGACACUGAGGCGCGAAAGCGUGGGGAGCGAACAGGAUUAGAUACCCUGGUAGUCCACGCCGUAAACGAUGAGUGCUAAGUGUUAGAGGGUUUCCGCCCUUUAGUGCUGCAGCAAACGCAUUAAGCACUCCGCCUGGGGAGUACGACCGCAAGGUUGAAACUCAAAGGAAUUGACGGGGGCCCGCACAAGCGGUGGAGCAUGUGGUUUAAUUCGAAGCAACGCGAAGAACCUUACCAGGUCUUGACAUCCUCUGACAAUCCUAGAGAUAGGACGUUCCCCUUCGGGGGACAGAGUGACAGGUGGUGCAUGGUUGUCGUCAGCUCGUGUCGUGAGAUGUUGGGUUAAGUCCCGCAACGAGCGCAACCCUUGAUCUUAGUUGCCAGCAUUCAGUUGGGCACUCUAAGGUGACUGCCGGUGACAAACCGGAGGAAGGUGGGGAUGACGUCAAAUCAUCAUGCCCCUUAUGACCUGGGCUACACACGUGCUACAAUGG
rnacentral:rRNA from 2 species